UACGUAGGGUGCAAGCGUUAAUCAGGAUUACUGGGCGUAAAGCGUGCGCAGGCGGUUUUGUAAGCCAGAUGUGAAAUCCCCGGGCUUAACCUGGGAAUGGCAUUUGGGACUGCAAGGCUUGAGUGCGGCAGAGGAGACUGGAAUUCCUGGUGUAGCAGUGAAAUGCGUAGAUAUCAGGAGGAAUACCGAUGGCGAAGGCAGGUCUCUGGGCUGACACUGACGCUCAUGCACGAAAGCGUGGGGAGCAAACAGG
rnacentral:rRNA from 1 species